GAGGACAGUGGCGGACGGGUGAGUAACGCGUGAGGAACCUGCCUUUCAGAGGGGGACAACAGUUGGAAACGACUGCUAAUACCGCAUGACACAUAGAGAUCGCAUGGUUUUUAUGUCAAAGAUUUAUCGCUGAAAGAUGGCCUCGCGUCUGAUUAGCUAGUUGGUGAGGUAACGGCCCACCAAGGCGACGAUCAGUAGCCGGACUGAGAGGUUGACCGGCCACAUUGGGACUGAGAAACGGUCCAAACUCC
rnacentral:rRNA from 1 species